rnacentral:ncRNA from 1 species
CAAAGGUUUGGUCCUGGCCUUACCAUUAAUUUUGACUACGAUUACACAUGCAAGUAUCUGCACCCCGGUGAAAAUGCCCUCUAUUACCAACAAGUAAAAAUAGGAGCGGAUAUCAGGCACUUAUUACGCCAACGACAUCUUGUUAAACCACACCCCCAAGGGAACUCAGCAGUGAUGAACAUUGAACAAUGAGCGAAAUUAAGCUCGAAUCAGCGAUAGUUAAAAGAGUUGGUAAAUCUCGUGCCAGCCACCGCGGUUAUACGAGAAACUCAAAUUAAUAAAAUCGGCUCAAAGGGUGGUCAAACACACACAAAUUAAAUAAGGCUAAAAACUAACCCCGCUGUAGCACGCAAUAGUUAAAAUAAACACAACUUCGAAAGUGGCCCUACAAAAUAAACUUGAACCCACGACAACUAGGAGACAAACUGGGAUUAGAUACCCCACUAUGCCUAGUUAUAAACUUUGAUUUAUCCGCCAGAAUACUACGAGCAACAGCUUAAAACUCAAAGGACUUGGCGGUGCUCUACACCCCCCUAGAGGAGCCUGUUCUAUAAUCGAUAAUCCACGAUAAACCUCACCAUCUAUUGCCAAUACAGCCUAUAUACCACCGUCCAGCCCACCCUUUAAAGGGUCAACAGUAGGCACAACUAUAGACAUAAAAACGUCAGGUCAAGGUGUAGCAUAUAAGAUGGGAAGAAAUGGGCUACAUUUUCUAACUUAGAAAAUUACGGAAAAGCUUGUGAAAUUAAAGCUAUGAAGGAGGAUUUAGCAGUAAAAAGAAAAAAGAGGGUUCUUUUUAAACCGGCAAUGGAGCGCGCACACACCGCCCGUCAUCCUCUUCAAAUAACCAUAAACAAUAAAUAAACAAAGAUUUAAAAAAGAAGGGGCAAGUCGUAACAUGGUAAGUCUACCGGAAGGUGAACUUGGAACAU